AAGCGAGUGUAAAAUAAUUAUAUUCAGUGAAAAAUGCAUUUCCACUUUUAAUUCCAGCACUUCUUCCUAGGUAGUCAAUUUCAUGUCAUCAUGUGGCUAAUAUGGUCGCUGGUAGGUCUAGAUGGUGUACUUAAUGGUAGAUAGAAUUUGAUUUUUGACAAAAUGUUGGCAGGGCCGAAUAGCAAUUUGCAGUCUUCACCUUAGAGUUCAGUAAUGUUCUGCAUUUUUUCAUUUGUUGGGAGUGACAUACCAUUAAGUACUUCUCUACUCAGGAGAUUAAAUUCGUUGGAAUCGAAUUGUAAUACUAAUAAGGCUGUCCAGGUUUUGUUUUUAUACUAGUCAAUUAUUUGCGUUUUUAUACUGCAUACUUCCGUACUAUUCAUGAUUUGAGAUUGCUGUAAUUUGAAAUCAUUUCUCCAACAUAUUUAUUUAAUAAUCAAUAACUAAUUAACUAUAACUAUCUGUUCUCUGUGGUGGCAAAUCCACAUUAGGGAAGUGAUUGAAGGUUUUGCUAUUAUCACCGUCAAAAUAUUCCUGUCUUAAUCAAAUAGCUUUUGUCCCAGUUCCUUUUCUUUUUAGCUCGACUUGUGGAGCUGCAAUUGAAAAUGAGACAGAUUGUGUCAAGGCAUUAUUAUUUUUUUGAAAAAAUUGGAAAAUGGCGUCGGAUUCAACCAGCUCUUCGUCCACCUCUAAUCUUAAGCGCCAGAAGUUGAACUUGACACAGAAAUGCUGAAGAAAAGAAGAGGUGCAGAUCUAAAAAAAAGAAAAGAAACCAUGAAAUAGAAAGAACUAAAGAAGAAGAAGAGAAGGAGGAGUCUUUUGUUUGUCAGAUGAAUUUACACUGUGAUUGUGAGAAGGAGUCGAUACCGCUUGACAUUACUAGGACAUUGAAAUGUGCAAAAAUCAAAUAUUGGAAGCAGGACUUGUUUAAAGGGUGAUAGUUGAAAAAAAAUCAAACUUUGUACGGUGUGUAAAUUUGUUGAAAAGUGGGAAAGCAUGAUAAUGCUAGAAAAUCAAAAUACCCAUUUUAAA